rnacentral:piRNA from 1 species
UCCACGGGUAGUGCGACCUCGGUUCUGUGU